rnacentral:rRNA from 1 species
GUGAGGAAUAUUGGUCAAUGGGCGAGAGCCUGAACCAGCCAAGUAGCGUGAAGGAUGAAGGCUCUAUGGGUCGUAAACUUCUUUUAUAUGGGAAUAAAGUUUUCCACGUGUGGAAUUUUGUAUGUACCAUAUGAAUAAGGAUCGGCUAACUCCGUGCCAGCAGCCGCGGUAAUACGGAGGAUCCGAGCGUUAUCCGGAUUUAUUGGGUUUAAAGGGAGCGUAGGUGGAUUGUUAAGUCAGUUGUGAAAGUUUGCGGCUCAACCGUAAAAUUGCAGUUGAAACUGGCAGUCUUGAGUACAGUAGAGGUGGGCGGAAUUCGUGGUGUAGCGGUGAAAUGCUUAGAUAUCACGAAGAACUCCGAUUGCGAAGGCAGCUCACUAGACUGUCACUGACACUGAUGCUCGAAAGUGUGGGUAUCAAACAGGAUUAGAUACCCUUGUAGUCC